rnacentral:rRNA from 1 species
UCAGUUCAGAUCGUAGGCUGCAACUCGCCUACGUGAAGUAGGAAUCGCUAGUAAUCGCAGGUCAGCAUACUGCGGUGAAUACGUUCCCGGGCCUUGUACACACCGCCCGUCACACCAUGGAAGUUGGCCAUGCCCGAAGUCGUUACUCCAACCCUUGUGGAGGAGGACGCCGAAGGUGGGACUAAUGACUGGGGUGAAGUCGUAACAAGGUAGCCGUACCGGAAGGUGCGGCUGGAUCACCUCCUAA